rnacentral:rRNA from 1 species
UACGGAGGGUGCAAGCGUUGUUCGGAUUUAUUGGGCGUAAAGGGCGUGUAGGCGGUUCGUUAAGUCUGAUGUGAAAGCCCCGGGCUCAACCCGGGAAGUGCAUUGGAAACUGGCGAACUUGAGUACGGGAGAGGGCAGUGGAAUUCCUAGUGUAGGAGUGAAAUCCGUAGAUAUUAGGAGGAACACCGGUGGCGAAGGCGGCUGCCUGGACCGAUACUGACGCUGAGGAGCGAAAGCGUGGGGAGCGAACAGG